UCUUCCUAGACUGAAAUUGCAAAGAGACUGAAUGUGAUCUGUGCCCAGCUCCUUCCUUACUUAUCACAGGAACAUCAGCAACAGGUAAUCCAGACCAUAGAACGUGCCAAGCAGGUGACCAUGGGCGAAUUAAAUGCUGCCAUUGGAGUCCGAGGACUUCCCAUUCUACCACCCCCACCUGCCACGUUUCCCAGACAAUAAUGUAAGUGAUGGUAAACACAGCCACCAUUCGUCUCCCACCUCCACCCUGCCUGGAAAGGAACUGAUAACACCACCACCACACCCCCCACCCAGGAUGAUGGUAAAACUAAAUAAUCUCACCUAUUUAGACUAUGACAUAACAUCUUCCCAAAGUGGGCUCAUGGAAGCCAGGA